GCCGAGCUGUGUUACGCCAGCUUGUGACCCAAGUGGGGGCAAUAAAUUAAUGGAACACGGCUUAAUUAAGCUAAGCUAAGCUGUUGGAUUGUGUUUAGCCGGCUUGCCCCAUCUCAGUUUGAAAGUAAGACUGAAGAACUAUUCCAGUCCCACUAAUUAGGAACUAUUUAUAGUUUGGCUCUAAAUACUCCUAAACUUCUCACUGUGGCUGGGAUAACAGGCUGCUUAAAAAUACCAAUCCCUUUGAACCAUUACCUUU
rnacentral:SRP_RNA from 1 species